ensembl:lncRNA
CCGGCCUGCCUCGCGCCCUGCUGACCAAUCCCUGGCUCAGCUCCAUGCGCGUCACAAUAGCGCCCUCGCAGCCCCGCCCCCGGACGCGGGCCGCGGAGGCACCGCCCACCCGCGCUCAUUGCGUCCUUCCGGCUCCGUGGUGGAAGUCUUCCUGCGCCGCGUCUUCCUGGAGAAGAAGGUGCUCAGAGGGACGAUCGAGGUGCCGGAUGUGAAGAGCGGGAGCGUGGAGACUCGGAUCCCGAGGACAGUUCGUUACCUACAAGGAGUGUCUCCGACUGUGGGCAUCCCCUCCCCGGGUGGUUCUUUAAGCCACAAAAAGCUGCACCCAAGCUUGUUUGAC